AUGAGCACCACCAGCAGGAAGAGGGGAAGCAGCGGCGGUGAACAGUCAAAGAAACACAAGAGCCCAAUGGUGAAACUAAUGACAGGGCUCAUCAAUACUAUGAAUAGUGAGAACACUUCUGACAUGAUCACUAAAUAUGCAAACAAAAGGCAGGAAGCAAAGGACAAGGCAAAGGAGAAUAAAGCAAACAACACUAAGGAAUCCAUUACUCAUUGUCAAAUGUUGGCAGUUAAAUGUGGUGCAGAAGAAACAAGUGUUGAGUACUUCAUGGCAACUCAACUGUUUGCAGAUGAGGCAAGCAAAGUCAUAUUUUAG
rnacentral:rRNA from 1 species